CCAGGGGAAUAAAUUCACUGAGCUUCUUCUCUCUCUUCCCCUGACCUCCUGGGGGGCUCCCCACCGGCCCCACCUGACCACAGCCAGAGGGUGAGAGAGGGUAGGAUCAGCAUGGAGAGUGGACCCAGAGGGAAACAGAAAACAUCACGCCCCAGAACUGGGCGUCUAUGCUUUGAACAUCCAACAGCCCAGCGUCUCAUCUUAUGGGUCCUGGUUCAGCCUGACCACAAGGCUCCUCACCUGGCAGGCCCCAGGCUCAGGGUGACAUCAGGGCUUGAUGACCUCAUAGUAUAGACCAACAGCCUGGAAACACUGGCCUUGGUAAUCCUAUCUCUGGGAUUCUAGCCUAAGGAAUGCUAAAGCCCAUAAUACUUGGGAUUCUUUUCAUUCUCUGCUAGGGAGGGCUGACCCACUGCCCACAGCAUGCACACAGUCUUGGCCUUUGCCCCACUGAGCUCGGCCAGGAAACCCCAGGGGACAGACAUCCUUGAAGACUGAUGGCGAAAACUGAUGUAAAAGGCCACAAACUGAUCACCACCUUGGUAUCAGGAAGGCCACGUGGGGACACAGUGAGAAAUCAGCCACUGGCAAGCUGAGGAGACAGGCCGCAGAAGAAGCCAAACCUUCCAACACCUUGGUGUCUGACAUGCAGCUCCCAGAACUGUGAGAAGUAAAUGUAAGCCCCCCUCCCCGACCCAUGCCGCAGUGCUCUGUCGUGGCGACCCUAGCAGACCGACAUACCCACCCACCCAGAGCAGAAUAGACUUGUGCCCCCUGGCACGCCAGGCUUCAAGGAAAUGUCUGCUGUAUCACCCCCCACACGUUGAGGUGGCUGUCCACUCACACGCCCACCUGCCCCGAAAGCCUGGGAGCUCCCCAAGAACCACGUCUAGGUCUCUGUUGUCUCACCCCAUCCUAAAUGGCGGGUGUCAGGAGGGGGUAACUGAGAUGACACGUGUAAAGCCCUCCGUGUAGAGCCGCGAGGGCUCAGCGCCCAGUGCGUCGGGAGCCCCGGGCCACCGCUCACCUGCUCAUGCCCCCAGCCGGGCCACGACAGGUGCUCCUGAGGAACUGCUGAGCUGAGUUGAAAGAUGGGCUGUGAGCAACUGAAUAUACACGCAGACAAUGGCCAGACCAAACAUAAAAACAGAACUGUGGCCCACAGCCUGCAGCACCCUGCCCAGAGAGCCAACCCACUAGCCACGGUAACCAGCCGAGGAGGCCAGUCUGCUCCAGGGCUAACUCCGGAAAGCCAAAAUGCACCCUAACCAGUCACACAGGAUGCCCCCUGCAAGCUGGCCUGCCUCCAGCUUCGCCUUUUAUCCUCUACAAAGCUUUCCUGCCCCUCCGCUGCCUUUGAGUCUCUCCUCGAUGCCGCCCACCAGCUGCUUACUCCCCUGCGGGAGCCAGCUCGGAGUAAACAGCCUGUGCUUCUCA